CCAGGGCCUAGGGGCGGCCUAAUUACCCGCCCCGAAAAGCCGCUACCCUGGCGGCCUGGCCCUGGACUCUACCAGGGG
rnacentral:sRNA from 1 species